AGCAAUCAGUGAUGACCUUUUUCAUUUAAUAUAUGAUCAAUAUGUGAUUAUUACACCAAAAUCACCAUCUUUCGGCUGAGAUUGCU